GGAGGAGUCGGAUAAUGGUUAUUCCAAAAGUUUGCUAAACUUUGACGGCGCAAGCUGUCUUGUGGGUUCGAGUCCCACCUCCUCCGCCA
rnacentral:tRNA from 1 species